rnacentral:misc_RNA from 1 species
UCAGGGGAGUAUAUGGAUGC